UACAGAGGGGGCAAGCGUUGUUCGGAAUUACUGGGCGUAAAGGGCGCGUAGGCGGCCUUCUAAGUCGAACGUGAAAUCCCCGGGCUCAACCCGGGAACUGCGUCCGAUACUGGAAGGCUUGAAUCCGGGAGAGGGAUGUGGAAUUCCAGGUGUAGCGGUGAAAUGCGUAGAUAUCGAGAGGAACACCUGCGGCGAAGGCGGGUUGCUGGGCUGACACUGACGCUGAGGCGCGAAAGCUAGGGGAGCGAACGGG
rnacentral:rRNA from 1 species